UACGUAGGGGGCAAGCGUUGUCCGGAUUUAUUGGGCGUAAAGAGCGUGUAGGCGGCCGUACAGGUCAGCUGUGAAAACUCGAGGCUCAACCUCGAGACGUCGGUUGAAACCGUAUGGCUAGAGUCCGGAAGAGGAGAGUGGAAUUCCCGGUGUAGCGGUGAAAUGCGCAGAUAUCGGGAAGAACACCCGUGGCGAAGGCGGCUCUCUGGGACGGUACUGACGCUGAGGCGCGAAAGCGUGGGUAGCAAACAGG
rnacentral:rRNA from 1 species